UAGAUUUUGUAUGACUGGCGGAAAUGGGAGCUUACCCAUAGGGAGUACAAAAAUAUGAUAUGCCGACCGCCUGGGCAGCUCUG
rfam:Anaerocolumna jejuensis DSM 15929 genome assembly, contig: EJ31DRAFT_scaffold00012.12